AAUUCCAGAUCCAUCCAUUUUAAUUUGUCAAAGUUUGUAAUAUUGGCCAGCACGUGCACUGUGCCUACGUAUGUUGCAUGCGCUACUAUAGGUCUACGUAUGUAAUCCAUCUUGAAAAUAAGGAUCUGUACGAAGUUCUAAGUUUCGGUUGAUUUGGUAUGAGGUCAAGGUUCUAACUUAUAGCUAGAGCCAUCAUGUACAGCACAUGUUAUGUGCUUAGUGCAUCUACUUACUUUAAUCACUCUAUAUAAAAUGGAAUUUGUUGGGGGUCAAGAAAAUGAUAAAUCAGUACUCACAGG
rnacentral:lncRNA from 1 species